CCUACGGGGGGCAGCAGUGAGGAAUAUUGGUCAAUGGACGAGAGUCUGAACCAGCCAAGUAGCGUGAAGGAUAACUGCCCUAUGGGUUGUAAACUUCUUUUAUAUGGGAAUAAAACGUUCCACGUGUGGGAUUUUGUAUGUACCAUAUGAAUAAGGAUCGGCUAACUCCGUGCCAGCAGCCGCGGUAAUACGGAGGAUCCGAGCGUUAUCCGGAUUUAUUGGGUUUAAAGGGAGCGUAGGUGGAUUGUUAAGUCAGUUGUGAAAGUUUGCGGCUCAACCGUAAAAUUGCAGUUGAAACUGGCAGUCUUGAGUACAGUAGAGGUGGGCGGAAUUCGUGGUGUAGCGGUGAAAUGCUUAGAUAUCACGAAGAACUCCGAUUGCGAAGGCAGUUCACUGGACUGCAACUGACACUGAGGCUCGAAAGUGUGGGUAUCAAACAGGAUUAGAUACCCCUGUAGUC
rnacentral:rRNA from 1 species